CCUGCCUUCAUGCAGCUGCAAGUCUGGGUGGGCAGGGGACGCACUGAGCAAGCGCCGUGGGAGUGUUGAGUGUUUUGGAAGGGGCAGUAGGGGGCGCUGUGGGAGCACACGCGCAGAAAGAACCAACUGGAUCUGAAGGCCCCGGUGAGGACGUGGAGAGCGGAAGGAUGAAGAGGAGUGGGCGGGAGAGAGUUCCAGGCAAAGAGAACCAUGAUGUAAAAGCCUGGUGAGCCUGGACUGUGGGGUGAUGGGGACAGAAGCAGGGGCUGAGGCAGCAAGCAGAAGCCUGCUGGGAAGAGCUUUCUAGAAGGGGGUAAGGAUUUUAGACUCUUCCCAAAGGACAGUGGGAAACUACAGAAGGAUUUAAGCCGGCUGAUGACUACCUGGUCACCCCGAUGGUUGGGCGGAUGAUGAAUUAACUGUCGAGCAGGACUUGGAAGGCCGCUGUCGUGGUAACUCAGAUACCCAGUUGAUAUCAAGCUUGGCCAUAGGACUCGCUUUAGCCAAUGAAACGUGAAGACGAGUGAUGCGCAUCUCUUGUGAGCCAAAGCUUCAAGAGCCGGCUCGUGGCCGCCAUGUCUCUUCUCCCUUCGCCAGAGACCGGCAGUGUUUCAGAGGCUGCCCCAUGAGCGAAGAGCCUGGGUCCAUGAAAGAAGACGCGGAGCAGAGCCCAGCCCGCCCAUGUCGGCCACGGGGCAAAGUUCCUUGAAUCUGUUCUAUCGUGUCACCUCUGAAUCUUUGCACGUGCACUCCGUUACACUCAGAAGAAAACGCUUCAUCACCGCCUCCUUUUUUCCCCUUAAUGGUAAAAUUCAGGCUCUAUAGUAGUCCAUGAAGAGAGUGCUUUGCAGUUACUGGCGUGGUUCUUCUCUCCUCCCUGGACCCCGACGGACCCAGAGCCCACUGCAGUUAUACACGGACCCGCCAGUUCCAAAGACAGACCCUUGUGAUGACGCUGGGCCAGCAGAAUGAUCCAGAAUAAUCUCCCCGUCUCAAGAUCCUUAACUUCACCACAUCUGCAAUGUCCCUGUUGCCAGACGCUCCAGGGCACCGUACAGUGUGGUUGAAAGCGUGACCUGGCUGAAGUCAAACCCCGGCUCUGACAUUUACCAGGUGUGCAAAGUAUUGAGCAAAGCAUUUCUCUGUCCCUCAGUUUCUUCUUCCGUAUAGCGGGUUAAUAAGAGUACCCGUCCCCUAGGCUUGCUGUGAAGACGAAAUGAAGUGAUAUGUGUAAAAUGCUAAGCACACGCCUAGCAUGCAGUGCUUGCUCAGCAAAAUG
rnacentral:lncRNA from 1 species